GGGGACGAUUUUGGUUUCGACGGGGAUAAAGGCUGGAUAUGUAAAGCGCGUGGUGGCGCUCAACCACCUUAAAAUGAGCAUGCGAAAAUAAACGCAGACGAAAACAACAAUGUUGUUUCAAUGAACACAGUUGCUUGCGCAGCUUAACUUCGUUUAAACAACGACCUGAUUGAAAUUUCAAUCUGCUCACCUUUGGUUUUGCCAACCUUAGAUUGGGUAUCAUUUAGGCAAAAAUUCUGCAUUGAGAAGCCUUUGUAGGUGUAGAAAAUCACUAAGGAUAGUUUUUGAAACCUGUUUAUGGGUGAUUUGAAAGCGAAACUCAAACAUAAACUAAACGCGUAGAAAGAUAUUUUGUCUUGUUUUCGGACGAGGGUUCAAUUCCCUCCGUCUCCACCA
rnacentral:tmRNA from 1 species